CCUACGGGAGGCAGCAGUGAGGAAUAUUGGUCAAUGGCCGGAAGGCUGAACCAGCCAAGCCGCGUGAAGGACGAAGGUGCCAAGCAUUGUAAACUUCUUUUGUCAAGGGACAAAAUCAGGCUCGAGAGCCUGACCGAGGGUACUUGAUGAAUAAGCAUCGGCUAACUCCGUGCCAGCAGCCGCGGUAAUACGGAGGAUGCGAGCGUUAUCCGGAUUUAUUGGGUUUAAAGGGUUCGUAGGCGGACUGUUAAGUCAGCGGUAAAAGCCCGGGGCUCAACCCUGGCGAGCCGUUGAAACUGGCUGACUUGAGAUGUCGAGAGGUAUGCGGAAUGCGCAAUGUAGCGGUGAAAUGCUUAGAUAUAGCUCAGAACUCCGAUUGCGAAGGCAGCAUACCAGCGGCGAUCUGACGCUGAGGCACGAGAGCGUGGGUAUCGAACAGGAUUAGAUACCCUUGUAGUC
rnacentral:rRNA from 1 species